rnacentral:rRNA from 1 species
AGAAUCAACGCUGGCGGCGUGCCUAACACAUGCAAGUCGAACGAGAAAGUGGUAGCAAUACCAUGAGUAAAGUGGCGCACGGGUGAGUAACACGUGACUAACCUACCCUGGAGUGGGGGAUAACUGAGGGAAACCUUAGCUAAUACCGCAUAAUACCUACGGGUCAAAGGAGCAAUUCGCUUCAGGAGGGGGUCGCGGCCGAUUAGUUAGUUGGCGGGGUAAUGGCCCACCAAGACAGUGAUCGGUA